AGCACUUGGCCACUUGAAGAAAGAACCCAGAUGAGCAGAUAGAUCAUCAAUCCGAAUGUGUUCAUCAUCCAUAGAAUGCCUCGUUCCAAUGUUGGCAUAGCUACCAGAGCGAAUGCUCGGAAAAGACUCAACAGCAGAAGAGUCAAUAGCUACUUCUUUCAUGUUUUCCAUGCGACUCACAGCCAUUAAAGAAGAUAAACAGAGAAAAUUCAAGAAAUCAAGAAUAACUCCUUUGGACGCAGUUAUAGGGUUUCGUAUUCCGAUUCUCUUGCUCUCGCGCGCUCUCUCUCUUCUUUCUGGGGCGUCUGUGAAUUGAGUAACAACGUGAAGCGAAA
rnacentral:misc_RNA from 1 species